UAUUCAACUAGUUCUUUCUACCAUUGAAAUCUGUCAAUUUAGUUUCAGAUCAUCAUGUUUUAUUAGUUAGAGGAUAGUGUGUGACAAGUGAUAUGCUUUCAGCUACUGAAUAAAUCUAGGUUAAAUGAAAAUAUUAUGACUUUAACUGCCCAUAAAUUAAAAAUCGCAGACUGGAGUGGAUAUUAUGAUUUUAAUGGAUUUGCUCAUGAUCAGCCACUUCAAACUUAACUGCGUUCGUUGCAAGAUAGAUUAUUACGUGUUUGAGAUAUAAAGGUUAAUGAUCUGUUGAGGAUAUUCAUCCCAGGUUGGUACCUACAAGGAUGAAGAGGGGCUUAUAAGCAAGAAAAUGUCAACUUUAGCACUAGUUAAUUGAUUUUAUGCAAUAAGAGUCCAUCACCACCCAAGGGUAAUGCCUUAAUUGAUAGAACACCUUCCCCCAUCGUGUACUCCUCUAAAUUAGAGACAGUAUGAAUGUUCAACAACGUAGCAACCGCAUAUCUUGCAAGUCAUUCCCAACCAAUUCUCCUUCUUAACCUCGUAUUGUCUCUUAUUAAAAAGAAAAAAAAAAUAUAGCAUUAUAUUUGCCUUCAGAAUGGUAAAGUUUUGAGUUCGAAUAUUAGAAUUACAUGAUUAAA
rnacentral:misc_RNA from 1 species